GCAGCUCCCAUGCCCUUAUUUGCCACGUUUUCCAAAGCAAACAAUGAGAAAAAGCCCUGCUCAGGCAGAGCAAGAUUUGAGAAUGAACCGGGAGUUCUUUGGGUGCAAUGGCCUCUGAAAUGUUUGCUGAGAUAAGAGCACAACUAAGCACCCUGUGGAAUUUAACGCUUUGGGGAGUCAUCUGAGGCCGUGGAGCUUUGCUGACUUGUUUGCCUGUGCUAUCUUCCUGCUUGGUAAAACCAUCUUUUUGUUUGAGGGAUUGGGCAGUGACAGCCCAAGGCUGCUUUGGACACUCCAGGGUGGCUGAAAAUUCCAGAAUGGAAACAGCGCUGGGGCUUGAGCACUGGGCUGAGCAGGUGGCAGAUUUUGCUGUGGACGCUGUUCCAGUCAGUUUUCUGGAUUUCUCCACUCAGAGCCCCUGGGCUGCCUGCAGGGUACCCAAAACAUGAUAUUCCCAAAUGUCUCAAUUUCACAGCUCCCUCCUGCCCCAUCCCCACAGCUCCCUGUGCUAAAAUCCCAAAACAUGAUAUUCCCAAAUGUCUCAAUUUCACAGCUCCCUCCUGCCCCAUCCCCACAGCUCCCUGUGCUAAAAUCCCAAUAAUGAUAUUCCCAAAUUUCUCAAUUUCACAGCUCCCUCCUGCCCCAUCCCCACAGCUCCCUGUGCUAAAAUCCCAAUGAUGAUAUUCCCAAAUUUCUCAAUUUCACAGCUCCCUCCUGCCCCAUCCCCACAGUUUUCUGUGCUAAAAUCCUUAUUUAAAUCACUCCCUGAACUCCUGAUCCAGCUCAGUUUGAACAAAUCCAACAAUGGAAAAUCAAACCAAGCCACCCUUGUGGGAACUGCCUGAGCUUCAGGCUCUCUCCAGGCUCCAUCCUGGCUCUGUGGAGGAUGCUGAGCCCAUCCCUGCCUCCUGAGCCUUGCCCCACAUCUCAUCCCUGUGUCUGUGUGUCCCAGGGACAAUCCCUGCCUCUUCCUUGUGUCCCACACCACACUCCAGGCUUUGUCCCUGCUUCUCUGUCCUGUUCCUGCCUCCUACAUUUCAUCCUGGGCCUUGUCCACGUGUCCCAAGCCUCCUCCUGUGGCUGUUCCUGCUUCCUGGGCCUCACCCUUGAUUUAUUAAAAAUGUGGAUAUUGAUCUAGUACUGAUAUCCAACUGAGAGGGACAAAAAUUCUCUAACAGUUUAAAGUUAGAAAGUGUGUGUUUAUUUUGGGAUGGCUCCCAAACACACACCCCAGUUUACAGGUGAUUACAGAGUCCUUUUAUCUAUACAGGUACUGAAUACCCAAAAUACAUAUUCAUGACUUUGGCACAUCCCAUUCCCCAUAUGGAUACUGAUCUGGUACCAAUAUCCAACUUAGACAGACAAAAACUCUCUAAGAGUUCAAAGUUAAAAAGUGUUUGUUUAUUGCAGGCUAAUUCCCAAAUACACACUGCAAUUUACAGGUGAUUACAGAGCCCUUUUAUCCAUACAAGUAUUGAACACCCAAAAUACAUAUUCAUGACUUUUACAUCCCAUUCCCAAUAUGGAUAUUGAUCUAGAACCGAUAUCCAAAAAUUCUCUAACAGUUUAAAGUUAGAAAGGGAAUGUUUAUUGCAGGAUAAUUCCCAAAUACACACUGCAAUUUACAGGUGAUUACAGAGCCCUUUUAUCCAUACAAGUAUUCAUUUAAAGGUGAUUACAAAGUUCUUUUAUCUGUACAAAUACUGAAUACCCAAAAUACAAAUGCACAUUCAUAACUUUGGUACAUCCCAUUCCUCACUUCGUUAGGUAAUUAGUUCAAAAGCUAUUAAGCAUGGUAAUUACUUCAAAAGCUAAUUAUGCAUGAGUAGUUUGUUCCUUGAAAUAGGUCGGUGGUCCCUUUCAUGGGGAGGGGUCCCAAAAUGAGGAAAUAAAUGAAGUCAUUCUCCAUCUGACCUUUCUACCUUUUCAAUGCAAAUGUGACAAAUGAACCCGUGGUAGAACUCCCAUUCCUGUCUUCAAUUGGUUUCAGAGCAGAGGAGGCCACAAUUGUCUGAUGUUCCUAAAAACAAUUGUUCCUAAAAGCUAUUUAUCAGUUUCUAUAAUGAAGAAUCAUUGUACACACAGCUAACCAAACAUUAUGUUGACAAGCAAUCAAUUAUUCGUUAAUUACUAACUCUUAACUUCAUCAAGGCCUACCCAUUUAUUUUGAUUAACUCCAUUAAAGCUUAUCUCUAACCAAAACCUCAGCUCCUGUAAAAUCUCUAAAUUCCUUAGAGUUGAUGCCUCACCCUGGCCCUUCUUCCCAUGCCCUGUGCUUUGUGUCCUGAGCUUUUUGUGCCUCUCGUCCUGUCCAGAGUCUGUCCCUGCAUUAUCCUGAAUGCCAAUCCUCAUCCCAAGCGUUCUGCCUGUGUCUCGGGCUCUCCCUGGAGGAAUCCCUGCCUCUUCCUUCCUGGGCCUCAUGCUGAAUCUUCAUCCCAACCUUGCUGCCUGUGCCUUAGCCCCACCCUGGAGCCAAUCCCUGCCUCCUCCUUCCUGGCCCUCACGCUGAAUCCUCAUCCCAACCUUUCCAGGCUCUCCCCGGAGCCAACCCCUGCCUCCUCCUGCCCUGUCGCUGUCCCCCGGGCAGUCUCACCAGUAGUAGGUGAGGCGGCAGCCGGGGCAGCGCAGCGGCGCCCCUCG